rnacentral:rRNA from 1 species
GCUUGCUUGGUGAGAUCAGUGGCGAACGGGUGAGUAACACGUGAGCAACCUGCCCUGGACUCUGGGAUAAGCGCUGGAAACGGCGUCUAAUACUGGAUAUGAGACGUGAUCGCAUGGUCGUGUUUGGAAAGAUUUUUCGGUCUGGGAUGGGCUCGCGGCCUAUCAGCUUGUUGGUGAGGUAAUGGCUCACCAAGGCGUCGACGGGUAGCCGGCCUGAGAGGGUGACCGGCCACACUGGGACUGAGACACGGCCCAGACUCCUACGGGAGGCAGCAGUGGGGAAUAUUGCACAAUGGGCGAAAGCCUGAUGCAGCAACGCCGCGUGAGGGAUGACGGCCUUCGGGUUGUAAACCUCUUUUAGCAGGGAAGAA